GGGCCCGCACAAGCGGUGGAGUAUGUGGUUUAAUUCGAUGAUACGCGAGGAACCUUACCAGGGCUUAAAUGCAUAAUGACAGGGGUAGAGAUACCCUUUUCUUCGGACAUUUUGCAAGGUGCUGCAUGGUUGUCGUCAGCUCGUGCCGUGAGGUGUCAGGUUAAGUCCUAUAACGAGCGCAACCCCUGUUGUUAGUUGCCAAUUUAUUGGGUUCUCUAGAAAGACUGCCGGUGACAAACCGGAGGAAGGUGAGGAUGACGUCAAGUCAGCAUGCCCCUUAUGCCUUGGGCUACACACGUGCUACAAUGGUUAAGACAAAGAGUUGCCAGCUUGCAAAAGUCAGCUAAUCUCAUAAACUUAGCCUAAGUUCGAUUGUAGGCUGCAACUCGCCUGCAUGAAGUCGGAAUCGCUAGUAAUCG
rnacentral:rRNA from 1 species